GACGAACGCUGGCGGCGUGCUUAACACAUGCAAGUCGAACGGAAAGGCCCUGCUUUUGUGGGGUGCUCGAGUGGCGAACGGGUGAGUAACACGUGAGUAACCUGCCCUUGACUUUGGGAUAACUUCAGGAAACUGGGGCUAAUACCGGAGAGGAGCUCCUGCUGCAUGGGGGGGGUUGGAAAGUUUCGGCGGUUGGGGAUGGACUCGAGGCUUAUCAGCUUGUUGGUGGGGUAGUGGCUUACCAAGGCUUUGACGGGUAGCCGGCCUGAGAGGGUGACCGGCCACCUUGGGCCUGAGAUACGGCCCAGUAUCCUACCGGAGGCAGCAGUGGAGAAUCUUGCACAAUGGGCGGACGCCUGAUGCAGAAAUGCCGCGUGCGGAAUGACGGCCUUCGGGUUGUAAACCGAUUUCGCCUGUGACGAAGCGUGAGUGACGGUAAUGGGUAAAGAAGCCCCGGCUAACUACGUG
rnacentral:rRNA from 1 species